rnacentral:rRNA from 1 species
ACAUGCAUACAACAUAACAUUAAUGCAGCGGAUCCCAUUGGAACUCUACAGCUAAGCGUGCUUAGGCUAGAGUAGUACUGGGAUGUGUGACUGCCCGAGAAGUCCUAUUGUUUUACAUGCC